rnacentral:rRNA from 1 species
AUUGAACGCUGGCGGCAUGCCUAACACAUGCAAGUCGAACGAGUGGCGGACGGGUGAGAAAUGUAUGGGAAUCUGCCCGGUGGAGGGGGAUAACUACUGGAAACGGUAGCUAAUACCGCAUAACAUGGGAUGCGCCCAGAUGGGAUUAGCUAGUGGGUGGGGUAAAGGCUCACCAAGGCCACGAUCCUGAGCUGGUUUGAGAGGAUGACCAGCCACACUGGAACUGAGACACGGUCCAGACUCCUACGGGAGGCAGCAGUGGGGAAUAUUGGACAAUGGGCGCAAGCCUGAUGCAGCCAUGCCGCGUGUAUGAAGAAGGCCUUCGGGUUGUAAAGUACUUUCAGCGGGGAAGCGGUACCCGCAGAAGAAGCACCGGCUAACUCCGUGCCAGCAGCCGCGGUAAUUC